AGCCGAUGUCUACAUCUGGAGAUCCAAUGCAGCGACAAACCAAAUCGCAGGGUGCACACAGAAGCCAUAUUUGGUUUGUGCUAAAACAUGACUGUCAGCUGUUUACAGUGUUGAUGUUUGAGGUCUGACUCGCAGUUUCCAAAACAAGGCCGUGUUGAAUAGCAGCACAGCUUGAGAUGUCUCUCGAGUAGCGAUGGUCGGGGUUGCUUAUGCACAAUUUCAAUUUCAAACAUGUCCUGUUCACACACAGCCUAUGCGCUUAUGGCCCCUGCCCUGAGCCCUGGUCCUCGCAGUGGCUUCACCUGAUGCAGGAGCCCACCCAACACAGUCAGCUGUGGAGCCUGUACGUCGCUGACAGUUGUCUCCUGUCCGACAACAAAGCAUCGCUUUGUCAGCCCGUUCCUGUACGAGUCACUGUCGUCUAAUCGGCUGCUGAACUGAUCGUGUAUUUCUAUUUGUAUCUGGCCUUGGACGAGGAGAUCGACUGAGCGGACUGCUUCUUCUCAGCUAGCCAUCAGGCUACCCUUACGAUCAGUCUCUGAAUCCUCCACCAGGACCCCCGCUCCGUCGCCACACAUUUCGGGUCCCGUGGCACCGAACCGUACCACUGUACCGGAGCCUAUCGGACCACGACCAGCCCUACCAGCUGUGCGGACGAGCUGACGACACGCUGGCCAUACGGGUGGUGUGUACCUGUGAGUACCACCACGACACCGGACUAACAACCCCUGACAAGCCGUAGCGCAGGGGGGUCUCGGCUCGGUUCACCACGACCGUCUCGACCACCACGACCAACGCGGUCGUAGUUAGGAAGAACCGUUUUGGUGAAUUAUUCUUCGGGCAGGACGGGACCAAAGUGUCGCCAAACUGUCACAUCGUCUGGGGGUUAUAUCUCACUCGAAACGGUCAGUUCAGGUCAAAUGAAACAAUUAUCGGUCUUCUUCCAGUCCAACUUUGAAAACAAACAAAACAAUACGACGUGUCGUCGCGGUGCAGGGGGAGCAGAUGUCUCGCGGCGCGGGGACAGAGACGCCGUCCUCCCGGUGACCCGUCGGGUGAGACGAUCUAACGAACCAGAGCCGUCCGAGGGACCAGACCAUAAGCUAGCGUCCUGCUCGGCUCGAUGCGACCUGGAUCCUCUCCUCACCUCCUCCUCGCUGCUUGUCACAACAGAUCAGCGGCAGCGCAGCCCGGGUCACGUGUCCCAACAACAGCUCGUCACUUCCCUCCCCAGCCUCACGUGAACCUGCUGCCAUGGCAACCGCGAAGUUAGAAAAGGAGCGUUCAAACUUUCUUCUUCUUCUACUUCUUAUUUGAACGUCUCACAUGGGGUGAGCGCCGUCUGGAUUCUGCGGGAGAUCUGGUUUAGCAUACGACUCAGAGUGCCAUGUUAUUAGUAAUAAUAAUGAUGGACCGUGGCGAGCGCGCCUCAACGGUCAGGGUGCGCGCGAGAGAGAGGGAGCGCGCGAGAGUGGGAGAGAGGGAGGGAGGGAGCGUGCAAGAGAGGGAGAGAGAGAUGGAGCGCGCGAAAGAGGGUUGACUCUCUGCUCUGAUUGGACAGCCGAUCCCAUGCACGUUCUCGUGGGCGGCACGUGAGAUGCUUUUUCCCCGUGAACAUUUUGUUCUGACUGGUAACAAAGAGGAGACUGAUGCGGCCGCCAGAAUGCGAUGCGCAAAUCUGCUCCACAGCUGAUGUGGUGGUUGGUAUUGUGUCAAAGCAAUUUCAAAAUCUUCAGCCUGGUCGCUUCGUUUGCUCCAUGUCAGGCCCUAACAAUAAGUGUAUUAUCUGGAAAUAUGUUCACUUUGGACAUCAACUGCACAAAACUUAGUCGUAGAGGUUUACUUAAUCAUAUUGAGUGCAAAGCAACGCAAGGUAUUGGCUAUUGUAAACCUUAAAGCUUUAACGGCCAUAGGUCAUGACCCACCUAUGAUGUAACAUUGUUUACACUAAAACUAAGCCCAUCCAUGGGAAAUCCCAUCUGGGUCUGUGAUGAAAUGAUAGUCAUCCAGCGAUUCUUUUGUCUGGUCUCGGUAGUAUUAUAGCUCCAUCUAGUGGUCUGGACCGGUAACGCAGAAAGUGAUGUAGGGGUAAAUAGUCUGAAACCCUUGAGGAAAAUCGUUUUUUUGAUUCAUAUUCGAAGUGUUUGGUCAGAAAUGUUCAUGUGUGUGUUUAUAUAUAUAUCCUAUAUAUAUCUAGAUAUCUAUAGGCCUAUAUAAAAAAAUAAGUAAGGGUUAGGGUUAGGGUUAAGUAAGGUUCAAUGUUAAGUACGUUGGCUCUCUCGCUAUAUUUUAUAAUUUGACAUUCCUACGGUAAACACAUCAACCGUCUGCAUAAAAUGUUCAGUUUGACAAUAAUGCUUACAUUUGACUAUUAGCCUUUAUUUGCAGCAAAAGUAUCUUUCGGCAAGAAAACAUAGAUUGAAGUGAUCGUCCUAUUUUCGGUUGGUAUAUCUUACUAUACCUUACUGCAAUUUAAAUCAUUAUUUAAAUGAUAUCUGAGAAGUAUGAACCUUUCAAUAGAAGGGUGGAAAAACUCCUAUAACAAUAAAUUGCAUGACAAGACACCAGAUUUAAGAGAUGGAAAUACCAACAAUUUAUUUUCUACUUCUUUGGUGACUACAGAAAUGUUGAAACAUUUGAACACUGAAAAAAGCUUGAUGACAUCAUCACUUCGCUUCUCAAUUUUUUUUUUCCUUUUUUUCAUUUGCUUAGCAGUCAAAA